rnacentral:rRNA from 1 species
CAGGAGGCGCGCGAGUCUUCGGGUGAAGGAAACCCGUCCGGGGCGAAGUGAGAGUGAAUCGCGGGAGCCGGCGCCAGCCGUCGGUGCACCGCGGACCGAGCCGUGCGGUCACGCUGUGGCCGGCUUCGAGUCAGAGCGCGCCUGUUGCGACCCGAAAGAUGGUGAACUAUGCCCGAGGAGGGUGAAGCCAGGGGAAACUCUGGUGGAAGCUCGUAGCGGUUCUGACGUGCAAAUCGAUCGUCGCACUUGGGUAUAGGGGCGAAAGACUAAUCGAACCAUCUAGUAGCUGGUUCCCUCCGAAGUUUCCCUCAGGAUAGCUGGAGCCCGGCUGAGCAGUUUUAUCGGGUAAAGCGAAUGAUUAGAGGUAUCGGGGUCCGAGCGACCUCGACCUAUUCUCAAACUUUAAAUAGGUAAGCUCGGGUGGCUUGCUUGCGUGAAGCCACUCCGCGGAAUGCAGGGGCUCCUGGUGGGCCGUUUUUGGUAAGCAGAACCGGCGAUGCGGGAUGAACCGAACGGCGGGUUACGGUGCCGGAGUUGACGCUGAUCAGAACCCAGGAAAGGUGUUGGUUGAUCUAGACAGCAG